UAUAUGUAUAUGGCGAAACGCCGCAAAGUCGGAAAGGUGUGGGGAAACUGCCUCGAGUCAGGUGGUAGUUGACAUCGCUUAGUCAAGGACAGAGUGGAGCUGACGAGCUCUGAGGGUGAGGUGCAGCGGGAUGUUGAUGUAUCCGUGGGCAACUUGGCGAAACACUCAAGGCCCACGUAUCCUGUAGCUGAAGGUGUGUUCAUUUCAACGCUAAAAAAUCAUGCCUGUAGGUCAAAAAGGUUCUGGCCAGUUGAAGACCCUGAGCAUGGACGGAAAUCAGGUGUUAAUCCCAAAAUUGCUGCUGUGGCAUUCCUGUCAGUCAUGGCAUCUCAGGAGCUGCAAGCCCAUCGGGGCGAAGACAGACAGGAGAGCCUCAGGAAUGAUUGCAGCCGGACUGCUUUUAUUGCCUUUAUCUCCAGGACAGAGGAGAGGGUGGUCAUGGCCAUAGCUGGGUAUGGUCACUGGUCUUGGUGGUAACCAUUGCUGUGAUGAUUUCCCUGGAGCUGCUGCAGUAUAAAGGAAUUGUGACCGUGAUCCUAAGUCUCACCCCACUGAUGGUCCUGAGAUUUGAGGAGCUCGAGCUGUGCAUGGGAUAAAAAAGGACCAGGAUGCAGCUUUCCUGCUACAGGCCACUGCUCUUUGAUCAUAUCUGUGGUCCAAAUGCUUUGGGGAGUGGGUGACUGCUGCAUUUUAUUAAAGACAUGCAACUGAAAUAAUAAUCGGAUAAAAGGAUCAUUUAUUGUCAAACGAUUAUGGAGCUGCAUUAUGUGAUUUCAUAUCUUUUCCUUCAAAAUCUCUGCAUUUCAAACCAGCUUGUGGCUUUUCUCUGUGCCAUUAACACUUUGGUAUUACACAGGAGUAUAUUUCACAUGGCAAUUCAGUGGGAUAUGGAUUAUGUUGUCAGGAAAUAAAUAAAAUUUUCUCAAGUUGGCCUUGGCUCUGCUGGUGGUAAUCAUGAAAUUGUUUGUCCUUAAGCUAUGGCAGAGGAUUGGAUUCU